AAAAUCGACGAAAAAAAACGGCCGAAGACGACGUCGCGAGGCGAAAGAGAUCCUAGGAAUAUCCGAAGCGUCGAAGGCGAUCGCGAAUCGAACUCCAAGACGACGAACCACGAGAUCAUCCUGCGCCAUUGUGCCCCAUUUCAAAUCGAGCAAGGCCUCGGUGCCGGCUGUUCCGAAACGCGUUUUUAAGGCCCUGCAUAUGCUUCGUCACGAGAAAUUCUUGCGAGCCGUUUCCCGCUACAUUAAACCAGCGAAUUCACUG